GAUGAACGCUGGCGGCGUGCUUAACACAUGCAAGUCGAACGGGAAACCUUUUAUUGCAGCUUCGGCAGAUUUAGCUGGUUUCUAGUGGCGGACGGGUGAGUAACGCGUGGGUAACCUGCCUUAUACAGGGGGAUAACAGUCAGAAAUGGCUGCUAAUACCGCAUAAGCGCACAGAGCUGCAUGGCUCAGUGUGAAAAACUCCGGUGGUAUAAGAUGGACCCGCGUUGGAUUAGCUGGUUGGUGGGGUAACGGCCCACCAAGGCGACGAUCCAUAGCCGGCCUGAGAGGGUGAACGGCCACAUUGGGGCUGAGACACGGCCCAGACUCCUACGGGAGGCAGCAGUGGGGAAUAUUGCACAAUGGGGGAAACCCUGAUGCAGCGACGCCGCGUGAAGGAAGAAGUAUCUCGGUAUGUAAACUUCUAUCAGCAGGGAAGAUAAUGACGGUACCUGACUAAGAAGCCCCGGCUAACUACGUG
rnacentral:rRNA from 1 species